UUGAACGCUGGCGGCAUGCUUUACACCUGCAAGUCGCACGGCAGCGCGGGCUUCGGCCUGGCGGCGAGUGGCGAACGGGUGAGUAAUACAUCGGAACGUGCCCAGUAGUGGGGGAUAGCUCGGCGAAAGCCGGAUUAAUACCGCAUACGACCUGAGGGUGAAAGCGGGGGAUCUUCGGACCUCGCGCUAUUGGAGCGGCCGAUGGCAGAUUAGCUAGUUGGUGGGGUAAAGGCCUACCAAGGCGACGAUCUGUAGCUGGUCUGAGAGGACGACCAGCCACACUGGGACUGAGACACGGCCCAGACUCCUACGGGAGGCAGCAGUGGGGAAUUUUGGACAAUGGGCGAAAGCCUGAUCCAGCAAUGCCGCGUGUGUGAUGAAGGCCUUCGGGUUGUAAAGCACUUUUGGCGGGAACGAAAAGGACUGUGCCAAUACCACGGUUCGAUGACGGUACCCGCAGAAUAAGCACCGGCUAACUACGUG
rnacentral:rRNA from 1 species